AGCAUGUAAGUUAUUGGUGCCAUGACAUAAACAGUCCAUUAUGAGGAGAUGCCCUUGGCAAGCUUCAUGUCAUGGCAAACAGUAUGUGAGUAUAAGCAGUCUGGGCCCCAUUUAACAACCCCAUUACAAGCAAUGACAUUCUGUGCAAGCUGUGUGAGCUAUAAGAUGUUUGGAAAAGUUUUUUGCGCGCACCUGCUUUUCUCUCUGCCGGUUGUUAAGAGUGUUGAGAAAAAUAAUGAGGUUUGCAUGAUAUGAAAUAAUGUUUCUAUAGCAAUGACGAUCUAUGCAAGCUGUGUGAACUAUAAGAAGUUUGGAAAAGGUUUCUUUCUUUCUUUUUUUUUUUUGCAUGUGCCCGCUUUUCUCUCUUUGCCUGCUCUAUUUUAGGUGGGAGACUAAAAAGGGUCGCCCAGUUUUGCUUUCUGCAGAAAAUAAAGCUGAUUAUUAGUA